rnacentral:tRNA from 1 species
UACAUUUUAGUGUAUGAUGCACAAAAAUUUUUGAUAUUUUUGGGGAUAGUUUGAAUCUGUUAAAUGUAA